rnacentral:rRNA from 1 species
GAGUUUGAUCGUGGCUCAGAACGAACGCUGGCGGCAGGCUUAACACAUGCAAGUCGAACGCGUGUAGCAAUACACGAGUGGCGCACGGGUGAGUAACACGUGGAUAUCUGCCUUUUGGUUCGGAAUAACCCUGGGAAACUAGGGCUAAUACCGAAUGGUUCCUACGGGAUAAAGAUUUAUCGCCAAAAGAUGAGUCCGCGUCCGAUUAGCUAGUUGGUGAGGUAAUGGCUCACCAAGGCGACGAUCGGUAGCUGGUCUGAGAGGACGAUCAGCCACACUGGGACUGAGACACGGCCCAGACUCCUACGGGAGGCAGCAGUGGGGAAUAUUGGACAAUGGGGGCAACCCUGAUCCAGCCAUGCCGCGUGAGUGAUGAAGGCCUUCGGGUU